rnacentral:tRNA from 1 species
GGAUUAUUAUGUUAAUACAAAAGCUGCUAACUUUUAGUAAUAGCGGUUAAAUUCCGUUAAUAUUCCU